UCCCCCCUGGUCCAGUGAUUAAGACUCUGCACCUCCACUGCAGAGGUCAUGGGUUCAAUCCCUGGUGAAGGAA
rnacentral:tRNA from 1 species